rnacentral:rRNA from 1 species
UACGUAGGGGGCGAGCGUUGUCCGGAAUUAUUGGGCGUAAAGAGCGUGUAGGCGGUUCGGUAAGUCUGCCGUGAAAACCUGGGGCUCAACCCCGGGCGUGCGGUGGAUACUGCCGGGCUAGAGGGUGGUAGAGGCGAGUGGAAUUCCCGGUGUAGAGGUGAAAUUCGUAGAUAUCGGGAGGAACACCAGUGGCGAAGGCGGCGACCUGGGCCAAUAUUGACGCGUGAGGUGCGAA